rnacentral:lncRNA from 1 species
AUGUAAAUGUGAUACCGCAGGUCGUGGAGCUGGAGUAUGACGGUGCAGACAAUGACUGUGACGGUGAGGAGGUGGAAGGGGACGGGGAGGCAAUGCAUCGGUACAUGGUGGAACUGGUGGACCUGGUCGAUCCCUAUGACAUGGUUGUACACCAGAUGCAAGUGGUACCCAUAUCUGAAGCUCUGUAUCCCCAAGUCCCGUCGAUGCCUGUGGUAACUGCGGCUCAUGCUCUUGUCCGUCAUCUGCAUUCGCCUCCUCUUGGCUUGCACUAGAAGGUAGUCGAACUGGUCCUCUAGGCUGCUUAACCCGUCCACGUCCC